AAUAAAGUGCCUGAAAAAGGAUUAUUCUGAUAGAAUAAAUUAUGUAAAUAUUUACCUUUAUUA
rnacentral:tRNA from 1 species